UACGGGGGGCGCAAGCGUUAUUCGGAAUUAUUGGGCGUAAAGGGCGCGCAGGCGGUCUUGUCCGUCAGGUGUGAAAGCUCGGGGCUCAACCCCGGAAGUGCACUUGAAACAGCAAGACUUGAAUACGGGAGUGGAAAGCGGAAUUCCUGGUGUAGAGGUGAAAUUCGUAGAUAUCAGGAGGAACACCGAUGGCGAAGGCAGCUUUCUGGACCGAUAUUGACGCUGAGGCGCGAAGGCGUGGGUAGCAAACGGG
rnacentral:rRNA from 1 species